UACGUAGGGUGCGAGCGUUAAUCGGAAUUACUGGGCGUAAAGCGUGCGCAGGCUGUUUUGUAAGUCAGAUGUGAAAUCCCCGAGCUCAACUUGGGAACUGCGUUUGAAACUACAAGACUAGAAUAUGUCAGAGGGGGGUAGAAUUCCACGUGUAGCAGUGAAAUGCGUAGAGAUGUGGAGGAAUAUCAAUGGCGAAGGCAGCCCCCUGGGAUAAUAUUGACGCUCAUGCACGAAAGCGUGGGGAGCAAACAGG
rnacentral:rRNA from 1 species